CCACCCUCCUCCAUCUGAUGUCUCCUCAAGUUAGGAUUGGAAUCAAAAUGGUUACCAAGAGGCCUUUUGCUCCAAUAUGGUGAAAGUUCAAGAGCUCCAAUACAUCAAGAAGAUCCGACUCUACAGCUUCAUGAUCAAAAUAUCGAGACAAGAGUCCAAGAUCCCAAAAAAACUAAUAAAAAUAAGGAAGAGGAUCAUAUUUCCACUGGCUUGC
rnacentral:lncRNA from 1 species